rnacentral:rRNA from 1 species
AAUUUUGGACAAUGGGGGAAACCCUGAUCCAGCCAUCCCGCGCGUAUGAUGAAGGCCUUCGGGUUGUAAAGUACUUUUGGCAGAUAAGAAAAGGUACCUCCUAAUACGAGGUACUGCUGACGGUAUCUGCAGAAUAAGCACCGGCUAACCACCUGCCAGCAGCCGCGGUAAUACGUAGGUUGCAAGCGUUAAUCGGAAUUACUGGGCGUAAAGCGUGUGUAGGCGGUCGGAAAGAAAGAUGUGAAAUCCCAGGGCUCAACCUUGGAACUGCAUUUUUAACUGCCGAGGUAGAGUAUGUCAGGGGGGGGUAGAAUUCCACGUGUAGCAGUGAAAUGCGUAGAUAUGUGGAGGGAUACCGAUGGCGAAGGCAGCCCCCUGGAAUAAUACUGACGCUCAGACACGAAAGCGUGGGGAGCAAACAG